rnacentral:lncRNA from 1 species
CUACAUGUUAACUGAUGUAAACACUGAACAAUCAUGUCUAUUCAGUAGUCUGUAAUAUGUGACAAUGAUUGGAGACCCUUAACACAAAGAUGGCAACAUAAUGAUGUCAUUAUGAUUGACAUUCUGACCUUUGACCUUUGUGACUUGUUGUCUGUAGUAUAAAGCUAAUGUAUGCAGAAUGUGGAGAAAUGUGUCAGUAAUGGGGAGACUGCAUGAAAGACGUGAUGGUGAUUCAUACUGACGGACGCUUUGUCUUAAUCGUACGUAAUUGUUUAGCGGUAGCAUCACCUAGGCACUCUGUAGGAACAAAACAGAAGUGCUUGACACACUACAUCUCUCUGAUCUGACCUUCAGUGAUGAGAGAAACUGUUGAACUGUUGACCCUAAGUGAUGACCUCCUACCUGUCGCUUGUCUCAACUGCUCUCCCCUUUGUCUGCGGUUCAGGGUCUUCCAGGGUCUCCUGGUAACGAUGGCAUUCCCGGUCAGCCCGGUCUUCCCGGUCCCCCCGGGCCUCCUGGACCCCCUGGCUUCGCUGGAGACUUCAGAACAGCUUCCCAGAUGUCCUAUGGUGGUGACAAGUCCAGCGGCCCAGCUCAACCUGGUCCAAUGGGCCCCAUGGGUUCUCGUGGUCCCCCUGGACCUGCCGGAUCUAGCGUAAGUGUUUUUUUUUUCUCCCCUUUUACUGAAAUGUGUGGCCCUGGUUUACUUAUCUGCCCAUUAUUUAAAAAAUGUCCAUCUCUAAUAAUAGACAAAACAAAUCUAAGACUCCCAGAGCAAGUCCUCAGUGAUCAAGCAUUGCAUGUGAUGUAUUAGAUAUAUCUUUGGCCGCAGCAGGCUUGUGUGAGACAGAACAAACAUAUCAGUAUAACAGAUGAAACGGGAGAUUAAGUGUUUAUGGUCGGAAACCAAGUUUCAAUGGCAACAGCUGUCAGCUACAAGUAAACAUAUGUCAAUGUAAUACGCAGACUAUUAUAGUAAUAGUUUUCACAUGACAGGGUGCUUAGUAGAUUGUCCUGUAGAGCAGAAUGAACAGCAGCACUAUGGAGUAGAUCUUUGUUGUUUAUUAGCCUGCACUCUGGGCCAUUUUGGUGUCAUGUUUAUAUAAAACUGCCAUUUUAGCUCCAUCUUUUCUUCUACCAAAAGAGCACACAGUUGGAUAACCCAAUAAUUCAGAAUCAUAUUCUGUGAAUGAAUUAUUUAGACACAGUUUCCUGGUCCAGGUUUUCUGGGAUACCUAAGCAAAUAGUUCCUGUUAGGAUCAUGUCCAGCCAGCUAGAGACACACCCAGUCUCACAAACAAUGGCCAACUAGAGAGUUGAUCACUGAUUGUUGAUGAUAUUGAUGGUCGAUCAGACUGAUUGAUCUGUGAUUGCCUUUCUCCCUCUCAGGGCCCUCAGGGUUUCACUGGACCCCCUGGUGAGCCCGGUGAGCCAGGUUCACCUGUGAGUAUGAACGUUUACCUGUCCUCAACUUACCUGUCUUUACAUUACCUGUCCUCACCUUACGUGUCCUUACAUUAUCUAUACAGACAUUAUCCGUGCUCACAUAACCUUACUUGCUGUAGUGACCCAGAUUGACUCGUGUCACUUACUCAAACAACACUUCCUGCUCUUAAAGAGCCCACUUUCACCUAGUACACACACACACACACACACACA